rnacentral:rRNA from 1 species
GACGAACGCUGGCGGCGUGCUUAACACAUGCAAGUCGAACGGUGAAGCGCCUUCCUUUUUGGUGGGUGUGGAUGAGUGGCGAGCGGGUGAGUAACACGUGAGUAACCUGCCCCCUCCUUCUGGAUAACCGCAUGAAAGUGUGGCUAAUACGGGAUAUUCUGGGUCUGUCGCAUGAUGGGUCUGGGAAAGAUUUUGUUUCGGUGGGGGAUGGGCUCGCGGCCUAUCAGCUUGUUGGUGGGGUGAUGGCCUACCAAGGCGGUGACGGGUAGCCGGCCUGAGAGGGUGGACGGACAGGCAGGGAGUGAGGGACGGGACAGAUACGGGCGGGAGGCGGCGGGGAGGUAUAGCGAUGGGUGGGCGCAUGCCGGAGGCAGCGACGGCGCGUGAGGAAUGGAGGCGGUCGGGUGGUGAACCUCAUUCGCGAGGAAAGCAUGCCUGCGUCGUUUGUGGGUGGUUGGACGGUAGCUAGAAAAGAGGCGCCGGCAAACUACGU